AUUGAACGCUGGCGGCAGGCCUAACACAUGCAAGUCGAACGAGUGGCGGACGGGUGAGUAAUGUCUGGGAACCUGCCUGAUGGAGGGGGAUAACUACUGGAAACGGUAGCUAAUACCGCAUACCAUCAGAUGUGCCCAGAUGGGAUUAGCUAGUAGGUGGGGUAACGUCUCACCAAGGCGACGAUCCCUAGCUGGUCUGAGAGGAUGACCAGGCACACUGGAACUGAGAGAAGGUCCAGACUCCUACGGAAGGAAGCAGUGGGGAAUAUUGCACAAGGGGCGCAAGCCUGAUUCAGCCAUGCCGCGUGUAUGAAGAAGGCCUUCGGGUUGUAAAGUACUUUCAGCGGGGAGGCGUUACCCAAAGAAGAAGGACCGGCUAACUCCGUGCCAGCAGCCGCGGUAAUUC
rnacentral:rRNA from 1 species